AAUCUAAUCUAAUCUAAUCUAAUAAUUACCUCAUAUCACAGCACAUUUCUAGAGUACAAACAUCUGGAGUUAAAUUAAAAAGAGUGAAAGAGUUGAUUCUUGAACCCUGACUAGCAUGUUGUUAAGGACGACUACCAGGCAGUGACAUUUCUUGGAGUUGAUUUUUGAACCCUGCUUCACUGAUUUUUGCUCAGUUUGUUGAUAAAAACUACUUAGCAUUAGCUAACCACCUUUCUGUUCAUCAUUCACCGUUCCUGAAAAUGUUUAUUGUUCUUCAAUUUGUGUCUGCUUGUCGAAAACGAGCACAGCACUGGAAGUCAGAGACCACCAGGCCAUAGAAGUGGAUGAGGACGUCUUUCCUCAAGUUGAAGAAGAACAGUUAAAGAUCUAUACUCAUCUAUACUGAUGAGGAGUUUGGUGAUGGCUCCAACCUGACUGACUCUCACUACGUGACUCACUACAUUCACUACAUGUGGCAAGCAGAGUUAUACUGUACGUCAUGUUUGGUCUUGAGCCAGGGAUUAUUUAUACAGGC